CUGUCCUGGAACACCAGCUGGAGGAGAAGGAGAAGCAGCUCGCCACUGAGCAGGAGGCUGCAGCCGCUGCCAGAAACAAGAGGCAGGAGCUGAGCAAGGAGCUGGUGGCCGAGCGGGCUAAGGUGAUGGCUCUGGAGGGCAAGCUGAAGGUGCAGCUGCUGGCCUGCGAACAGGAGUUGGAGCUGAGGCAGGCACGCAUGCAGGCCAUCAACCAGGACCAUGCCCAGAAAACGCAGCAGCUCCAGGACAAGAUCCGGACCCUGCAGGAGCAGCUGGAGAACAGACCCAAC